UCACCCUCGUUGGGAGAAACCGCUUCGAUGCGGUGCCGAAGGAGCAACCGCCCCGGAAACUCUCAGGCAAAAGGACCAGCGAGGCCGA
rfam:Rhizobium sp. 63-7 SCNpilot_expt_1000_bf_scaffold_2762, whole genome shotgun sequence.